CUAGCCGUAAACGAUGGAUACUAGGCGUUGUGAGUAUCGACCCUCACAGUGUCGUAGCUAACGCGUUAAGUAUCCCGCCUGGUGAGUACGCGCGCAAGCGUGAAACUCAAAGGAAUUGACGGGGGCCCGCACAAGCGGUGGAGUAUGUGGUUUAAUUCGAUGCAACGCGAAGAACCUUACCAGGACUUGACAUGUCGCGAAUCUCAGGGAAACUUGAGAGUGCCUUCGGGAGCGCGAACACAGGUGGUGC
rnacentral:rRNA from 1 species